GGCACGAUUAUUUCGCGGGCCGCGUAAAGUAGCGUGGUUUUGCAACGUGGACGCGCUGAAUCCUUACGAUCUCGCACGAACGAUACCCGUUCGUCCGAUUCGGCAGAGGUCGGCCUGGUCUGCAGCGACUCCGCCGCUUGGAACUGGCUCAGUCGCUUCGCGCGCCUCGUGCCGUGUGUGUUUCACGUCUGUUCGCUCCUGCUGUUCACUGAUCCGAUCCGAUCCGUGCCGAACAAGCAAGCAUUCGUCUCUCGCGUGACAAUCGCCGCGAUCGUCAGAGAAUCAAUCUCGUGUCUCGAUCUUCUUCGAUCUGUGGGACCGGUGCCUAUCGUCAAGUUUGCCAAGUUUCGAAAGAAAGUUCCCGGUUCGGCCCAACUCGGCUCAGGUCCCGGCCGCCGAACGGAGGCCGAAUUAGGAGAUCGACUCGACUCGACUCGACUCGACUCGACUCGACUCGACUCGAAAGUGGAACAGCCACCGUGAGAUCCGGUUUCGGGAAGACGGGGAAAAAUAUGAGCAUCUCGUGAAGUCGGCUUUAAAGUGCAGCUUUCAGACACCGAAGGGGUAGAAAACACCAUGGAAACCGAGGAACUCACCAGACUCGUAGAUGAGAUCUACAAGAACAUCCUGGACAAGUUCAACCCAGGGGCGAGGCAGCUGAUCAAUGCCGGCAAGGCAUAUCUGAAGGCUCUUCACGGUGAGUGAAUCAAAUUGAAUCUUUAA